rnacentral:lncRNA from 1 species
CUCUGUCUCUGCAACUCUUAGCUCUGCAACAGACGUGAUGUAAUUGUUAGGGGAUAGAAGUCCUUUGGUCACUGUAGUUACAUCUUUGAAGAUUAUUAGAAAGCUACUGGUCCUUCUUCUUCAUCCCAUUUUCUUUCUACAUUGUGAGGUGAGCUGGUUUUUCUCUGCUACUUGUUUCCUGCUGUAAUAUGCUAUCUCCACGUUCCCAAAUAACACUGCUAUCUAGCCAUGGACAAGAACUUGCAAAUCAAGAUAAAUAACCUCCCUUCUUUCCUACCUUCUCUCAUCAGUCUUACUAGGUGGACAUAGCUGGACUAGAACUUAUGGAGAGAAGGUUAAUCUUAGAUGUGUGAACAUUUUCUCAGUAUGAAUUGAUUCUUUCACAAGGUGUGGUGGUGCAUACGUAUAAUGCCAACACAGAGUACAAAACCAGGAUGAUUAGUAGUUCAAGACUAACUUCAGUCCAGAAUGAAACUUGCCUCAAAAUUAAAACAAAGCAAAGCCAGCAGGUAGGAGGCAGCCAGAUGGGGAAUACUGCAAAUCUGAAGUAAGGGUGAGCAUCCAGAGUGGAUGAGUGUAAAAGUAACUUUUUUUUCGCCUGAUAUAAUUAUUGUCUCGGAAGCUUACUGAUGAAUAAACUCACCCUUUCUAACACUUGCUGAACUCUGGCUGGCUGUUUCAAGUCAUGUGUUCUCGCUCAGAUUCCUCUCCAAGUUGACUGAUUCAUUCUGGCUUCUCUCAGUGUCUGAUUGAAUUGCUCUGCUUGGAGUCAUACACUCCAGCAAUUUGCUCUGAUCUUCUGGCUCCUUCUCAUUCUCUGGCUCAUUCUGUCUCCACCUGUGUCUUACUUAUUCUCUCUUCAGCCUGAAUCUGUAAAACUGUCAGGUUAAACUGCCUUCUAAUUCCAUGAACUGAACUGCCACAAACUCCAUUCCACUGCACUGCCUGUCAAACGCUGAUGCAACCCAACUGAUGCAACUCCCAACUGACAGACCAGCUCCACUGCACUGAAGUCAAGCAGCUAACACUGAGAGAUGUUAGUGUCUGUCUAACAUACCUCUGUCUCCUGAGUGCUGGAUUAAAGGCUAGUACUACCACCUCUGGACUUAAGGAUUCCUUUUCCUGAACCUUGCUUCAUACCAGGCUGGCCAUAAACUCUGUUUCCUGGGAUUAAAGGCAUGACUAUAGUCUAGCUGGAUCAGCAAAUCUAGAAGGACUUUGGAUAGUAUACCUUGUCAGAGCAACCAUGUUGGUGGACUAGAAUUUCUCUACACAGGAGAAUCAAAGGAAGAAAGCGUUCUUGAAAAAGAAACUGAAUGCAAGCUACCAAUUGCCUUGGAAAACUUGAGCACAAUAAAAACCAAAAAGUUGAGUAUCUGAUACAAGUGUGGAUAAAAUCCAGACACCUAUCACUAGCUCUAGGUCGUGUCCAUAUCUUUUGUUUUGAAGGAAAAAAUUGUCUUUUACUUGCUAAACAUUAAAUUACAUGUUGAUUU